rnacentral:rRNA from 1 species
UACGAAGGGUGCAAGCGUUACUCGGAAUUACUGGGCGUAAAGCGUGCGUAGGUGGUUUGUUAAGUCUGAUGUGAAAGCCCUGGGCUCAACCUGGGAAUGGCAUUGGAUACUGGCGAGCUAGAGUGCGGUAGAGGGUAGUGGAAUUCCCGGUGUAGCAGUGAAAUGCGUAGAGAUCGGGAGGAACAUCUGUGGCGAAGGCGAGUCUCUGGACAUUUCCUGACGCUGAGGCACGAAAGCCAGGGGAGCAAACGGG